GUAUUAUUAAUGUCUUUUUUUUAAUUUGAAUACACAAAUGUCCAACUAAUGUGAGAUAGAAACAAGAAAGCGUCUAUUAAAAAACUAAAACGCUUUCAUUUGGAACUAAUUUAUUCUCACUAGCGUUUUUAACUAAAUAUAAGGAAGAGCAUAAUCUUGAAAAAUCACAAAACUAAAGUCUUGAAACUGCAAAGGGGAAGAAGCGAGUGAAAGAAAAAUCCGUAAAUGGAAGCCGGAAGGCCGUCUGGGAUGAACGGGUUCUUAUUUUUUGUAUGUAAAUUUGGAACGAAGAAGGUUGUUGAUGCAAAUUCACAUCUCGCUCACUGAUUCUUGCCAGGUUUUUGCUUGUUGUUAAUAUUAUGCUAUGGACUGAUUGAAAAUGGUGGGACUACAACUCGUAUUUCAUGCUAUAGAAUUGAAAAGACAGUAAAUAUGGUGAGGUGAAUGUGGAGAAAGCAGAAGCACAAGGAAAAGAGAGAAAUAUCGAAAGAAAGGAAAACGUGACAUUGUGCGACUGUGCAAGUGUUCUAGAGGGCUAUUCUAUGUCCUCUACCAUAGUUCGUUCAUUUGCUAUUGAAUAUUAGUUGGGAUUUGGCAUAUCAUAGAAUACAUUGAAUAACUAUAGGUUUUUUAUGAAUGAAUUACAUUUUGUUUGAUUUCACUAUUGUUUAUAUGCUCAUUUUAGUAGCUUUUCUUUUCUCAUAAUCGACAGGUUUGUACUUUAAUAAGUCUAGAAUACUUUCGAGAUUCUUGUUUUGAUAGCAGGAUUGAUGCCGGACUCGGAAAUUAACUUCAGUUAUAGCAAUGUGAGAUGUUGGUAUCGAUGCCAUGUGGUAGCUAGAGAGGUUAGCAUCAAUGUCCUAUACAAGAGCUCUAUUUUAUUUUGCUUAAUCAAACAAAAUUUACAUUGGGUUUUCUUGUUUAUUGAUCAUUUUUUGUUUCGUUUGUGGAAGGCUAACAGUGAUGUAGAUGAGUUUAUCACUUUUGAGAACUAUAGAUACUUUAUUGUAACGAAUAAUUAUUUUAAUGAAAUGAUAUUUUUUUA